rnacentral:rRNA from 1 species
CCUACGGGUUGCAGCAGUCGAGGAUCUUCGGCAAUGGGCGAAAGCCUGACCGAGCGACGCCGCGUGAGCGAUGAAGGCCAUUAGGUUGUAAAGCUCUGUCGAGGGGGAACAAGCCGCAAGGUUGAGUGAUCCCUGGAGGAAGCACGGGCUAAGUUCGUGCCAGCAGCCGCGGUAAGACGAACCGUGCGAACGUUGUUCGGAAUCAUUGGGCUUAAAGGGCGCGUAGGCGGGUGUUCAAGUCCGGGGUGAAAGCCUCCAGCUCAACUGGAGAAGAGCCCCGAAUACUGUUCACCUGGAGAGAGAUAGGGGCACAUGGAACUUCCGGUGGAGCGGUGAAAUGCGUAGAGAUCGGAAGGAACGCCGGUGGCGAAAGCGAUGUGCUGGUUCUUUUCUGACGCUGAGGCGCGAAAGCUAGGGGAGCAAACGGGAUUAGAUACCCCCGUAGUC